rnacentral:rRNA from 1 species
UACAGAGGUCCCAAGCGUUGUUCGGAUUCACUGGGCGUAAAGGGUGCGUAGGCGGUUGGGUAAGUCUGUCGUGAAAUCUCCGAGCCUAACUCGGAAACUGCGUCGGAUACUAUUCAACUCGAGGAAUGGAGGGGAGACUGGAAUUCUCGGUGUAGCAGUGAAAUGCGUAGAUAUCGAGAGGAACACCAGUGGCGAAGGCGAGUCUCUGGACAUUUCCUGACGCUGAGGCACUAAAGCCAGGGGAGC